ACUCACACGCCAUCGGCCCAUUCUUUACUCUCUCCCUCUCUCUGAUGCACCAGCAGGUCACUCACACCAUAUCGCCACUGCCCACUGUUGGGUAAGCCCUCCUCUAAUCUCCUCAUCGGAUCAGAAGAAUCCCAGCGAAUCCAGGGAAAGAAGACUCCCUCCGAGUCCCGUCCGAGACGCAGAGUGUCAGCUCCGACCCCGAGCGGAUGGCGUCGCCGCCGGAGGGGGUGGAGCCGGCGGUGAUCCACGCGUGGUCGGCGCCGCGCUCCCUCAGCACCAGCCUCAUGUACUCCUUCUCCGAGAGGGAUGACAUGGAUGUGCUUGACGAGCCUCUCUACGCUAAUUUCCUGCGUGUCACCGGCGUUGACAGGCCCUACCGCCAGGAGCUUCUCUCUAAAAUGGAUCCAGAUGGCAACAAAGUUGUCAAAGAAGUGAUUUUUGGACCAGGAGAGAAAGCAUAUCGUUACUGCAAGCACAUUGCGAAGCAGCGCCUCCCUAAUCUCACAGGUGACCUGAUGAAGAAGGGAAAACAUUUCAUAUUAAUACGUAAUCCUAUGAAUAUCCUGCCAUCAUUUGAUAAAGUUGUUCCACCAUCCUUCCUGGAGCUCGGUGUAGCAGAACUUGUUGCAAUAUACAGUGAGUUGUGUGAGCUUGGGAGCCCUCCACCUGUGAUAGAUGCAGAUGAUCUCCGAAGAGAUCCUGAGGCCGUCUUGAGUGGACUCUGUGAGGACCUGGGUAUUCCUUUCCAGCCACAAAUGCUCAAAUGGAAAGCUGGCCCAAGGGAACUUUGAUGGUAUUUGGGCCCCCUGGUGGUAUGAAAGUGUACAUACAUCUACAGGCUUCUCGAAAUCCCGUCGUUACCCUAUGACUUUUCCAUUUGCAUUUUAUGACCUACUUGAGCAAAGCUUGCCCUUCUACAAUAUGCUGAAGCGCCAGGUACGGAGAACAACAGGAUCCCUGCUGCCACCACCACCUGAUCCUCCUCUUCCUGUACCAGAAAAUAAAAAAAUUCUUGUUUGGGUUGGAGAUGAACUUUUGCCACGUGAUAGUGCAAGGGUUUCAGUGUUCGAUUCAGUUGUACAAGGAGGGGAUGCUGUGUGGGAAGGAUUGCGUAUAUAUGAUGGGAAAGUAUUCAAACUUGAAGAACACUUGGAUAGAUUGUUUGAUUCUACAAAAGCUAUGGCCUUCAGCAAUGUGCCCAGUCGUGAUUGGAUUAAGGAUGCAAUAUUUAAGACUCUUAACGCAAAUGGGAUGUUCAAUAAUGCACAUAUAAGGCUCACUCUCACCCGUGGGAAGAAGGUGACAUCUGGAAUGAGUCCAGCUUUCAAUCUAUAUGGGUGUGUCUUGAUUGUACUUGCAGAGUGGAAACCACCAGUUUAUGAUAACUCACAUGGGAUAAAGUUGGUAACUGCCACCACGCGUCGUAAUUCUCCAAAUAGCGUAGAUUCGAAGAUACAUCACAACAAUCUUAUUAACAACAUUCUGGCAAAGAUAGAAGGUAAUCUUGCACAGGCUGAGGAUGCUAUCAUGCUAGAUCAAGAUGGUUUUGUAUCAGAAACAAAUGCAACAAACAUAUUUAUGGUUAAGAAGGGCAUUGUAUUGACACCUCAUGCGGACUACUGCCUUCCAGGAAUUACCCGUGCAACUGUCAUGGAUCUUGUUGUGAAAGAAAACCUGGUAUUACAUGAACGGCGAAUUAGUCUAUCUGAAUUUCAUGCUGCAGAUGAGGUGUGGACAACCGGAACAAUGGGUGAAAUUACACCGGUCGUGAUGAUUGACGGCCGUGAAAUUGGUGAUGGGAAAAUCGGUCCGGUCACAAGACAAAUCCAGAGCGCAUACAAAGUCCUGACAGCAGGGUUAGGAGUACCAAUUCCCAGGAAUGCGGAGGCAUAAUCAUUUGUGCAGACAUUCUUCUUUUCCUUUUGAAAAGGAGAAGGCACCUGUUAUCUAUGGACAAACUUUCAGGGUUCAGUUUCGAGUAAUGAUAAUAAAUACUCCCUCCGUCCCGAAUUACUUGUCGUAGAAAUGGGUAAAAAUUGAUGUAUCUAGAACUAAAAUACGUCUAGAUACAUCUAUUUCUCCGACAGGUAUUUCCGGAUGGAGGGAGUAGUAGCUAGCGUUCAAAGAAGCACCCAGUGAAAGUGGCACAUCGGACAGAAAACUGAGUAUUCGAAAAUACUGGUUGGGUCUGUGAAUUCAUGAUUUAGUGUGUGCCUGUGUGCGCCGAAACCUGUUCCAUGUCAUUUGGAAGCUGUGGCUGGUCCUGGACAUAGAACAGAAAAUGGAAUGUUAUAUGCGGUUUUAUUUUCUGCU